UCCUGAUCACUUCCUGAUUCAGGCAGGCAGGCUCCCUCAGGGGCUUGUCUCUGGUGUGGUGAAGGGUCCUGGGCUGUCUCCCUGCUUGUCCCCUCUCCUGGGUCUACGGUCUCCCAUUCCUCUUCCUCCUCAGACAACCACAUUCCCUCAGAGUAAUCUGUUAAGAGUCUGCAGGCUGGCAGAGGACAAGGCUGAAGGCAGCGCUUCCUAGGACUUGAGUGUGCAGCAUAUGUUUGAAAGGGUGGAAAUAACAUUCUCAAGACCAGUCCCAGGGUGGCUGCUGAGACCUGGACAUUAAUCUCUCCAGGGGUGGACAUUUCAGCUGCAAUGGAUCAUCCCUCAACCACCUUCUCUUGUCUUUGCGUCCCAUUUCCUAAGCUCAAUAAUCACAGGCUGUUUGUUAACCUCAGUUGGAUGG